GACGAACGCUGGCGGCGUGCUUAACACAUGCAAGUCGAACGGAAAGGCCCUGCUUUUGUGGGGUGCUCGAGUGGCGAACGGGUGAGUAACACGUGAGUAACCUGCCCUUGACUUUGGGAUAACUUCAGGAAACUGGGGCUAAUACCGGAUAGGAUCUCCUGCUGCAUGGUGGGGGUUGGAAAGUUUCGGCGGUUGGGGAUGGACUCGCGGCUUAUCAGCUUGUUGGUGGGGUAGUGGCUUACCAAGGCUUUGACGGGUAGCCGGCCUGAGAGGGUGACCGGCGACAUUGGGACUGCGAUACGGACCAGACUCCAACGGGAGGCAGCAGUGGGGAAUAUGGCACAAUGGGCGGGAGCGUGAUGCAGCAGCGCCGCGUGCGGGAUGACGGCCUUCGGGUUGUAAACCGCUUUCGACUGUGACGAAGCGUGAGUGACGGUAAUGGGUAAAGAAGCACCGGCUAACUACGUG
rnacentral:rRNA from 1 species